GGGGCAGUAGCUCAAUUGGCAGAGUUCCGGUCUCCAAAACCGGCGGUUCCAGGUUCGAGUCCUGGCUGCCCCG
rnacentral:tRNA from 1 species